GAUGAACGCUAGCGGCAGGCCUAACACAUGCAAGUCGAACGGUAACAGGGAUUGCUUGCAAUCCGCUGACGAGUGGCGCACGGGUGCGUAACGCGUAUACAAUCUACCUUGUACAGGGGGAUAGCCUUUGGAAACGAAGAUUAAUACCCCAUGGUAUUUAUGAGUGGCAUCACUUAUAUCUUAAAAUUUCGGUGGUACAAGAUGAGUAUGCGUCCUAUUAGUUAGUUGGUGAGGUAACGGCUCACCAAGACUGCGAUAGGUAGGGGUCCUGAGAGGGAGAUCCCCCACACUGGUACUGAGACACGGACCAG
rnacentral:rRNA from 1 species